CGUCCCUUUUCCUCUUCCAAAUAUCAUUGAUAUUUUUUCUCAUUGAAAUCGCUGUACUGUAUCUCUUGAAGGAUUCCUGAAGAAGGACUGAUGCAGAAUGCAGGCUGGCUUUUCUCUAUCUGAACGGAGUCUGAAGAUCCCAUGGUGACACCUGCUAUGAAUCUGCUCCCUUCGGAAUGGAAAGGAAUGUGCAUAGGUCUCAAGAACGAUGCAUAAAUAUAUUUUCUUCUUAAAAUAUGUCUACAUUUUAAAGGAACAGCACCAGGAUCAGGUAGCCAUUUAUAAUUGCACAGAUAAGCAAAAUAUGGGCAGAAUUUAUUCCUGAGCAUAUUGGAGUAUGUAAACUUCCUGAGAUUAAAAUCAACGGAUACUCUUAUUUUUAACUUCUUGUUUUCCCAUUUAUGGGUAAAGCAUAUUUUAAAUGGGUUGUUUUGAAGAAACAAUCAUUAAUAACAGAUAAUAGUCACUAGACAGAUAAAUGACACACAAAAUGAAGUUUCCAACAGUAGCGUAUUAUGUUUUCUUGCCUGAAGAUGUGUACAUAUGCAGAGGUUUGCCGACUACAGUGCCAAGCAUUGUACAAAAAUAAAACAUUUUGAAGAUGAUACAACGGUACAAGUGUAAACAGUAUCACCCACUAGAUGAGCUGUUUCUGGAUCUUGAAAUCCAAUUCUAAGAUGCAUCAGUUUCAUAUAAAUCUUUGGGCAGGCAAGCCAGAAAAACAGUACGGAUUCAUAGCUCGCAGUGUAUAGUAACAGAGUAGUGGAAAACAGGAAAAAAAGGAUAAGUUUGUCUUCUAGGUUAUUUUGGAAUAUAAAACACAAUUAUUUUAUUAUGGACCUAAUGUAAGAAUUGGCAGGAGGUUGUUUUACAGUGUUUUAUUUUUACAUAAAAUAAUGCCAUCUAUGCAAUGAUGGAGUGUCCCAAAUAGAUUGUUGUAUUUUAGAUGCAUUUGUAUACAGAUAAUGUUACAUAUCACUCAUUUCAUUCCUAUCAUUCCUAUCAUUAUGAUUCAAUCACUCAUAAUACGUAUUUCAUGUAUUUUUAAAAAAUUAACUUUGCUAUUAUACUGUAGUAUUUCUUAGAAAGAUUAUGCCUUCUUAUUGUUAUUAACAUCUUUAGUUAUAAUGAAUCCCAGAAGCAUUUUAGGAAUAUUUUAGUUAGGAAUAUCCAAGGACCUUCACCAUACACUUAGCAUAUUUUGGCUUGCUAAUAUACAGUACAUAUAUCUUGGUUAGCA